rnacentral:rRNA from 1 species
GACGAACGCUGGCGGCGUGCUUAACACAUGCAAGUCGAACGGACAGGCCCUGCUUUUGUUGGUUGCUCGAGUGGCGAACGGGUGAGUAACACGUGUGUAUCCUGCCCUUGUCUUUGUGAUAACUUCAGGAAACUGGGGCUCUUAUCGGAUAUGAGCUCCUGCUGCAUGUUGGUGGUUGGUAAGUUUCGGCGGUUGUGGCUGGAUUCGCUGCUUAUCAGCUUGUUGGUGUGGUAGUGGCUUACCAAGGCUGUGACGGGUAGCCGGCCCGAGAGGGUUACCGGCCACAUUGGGACUGAGAGACGGACCAGAAUCGUACGGGAGGCAGCAGUGGGGAAUAUUGCACAAUGGGCGGAAGCCUGAUGCAGCAACGCCGCGUGCGGGAUAACGGCCUUCGGGUUGUAAACCGAUUUCGCCGGUGACGAAGAGUGAGUGACGGUAAUGGGUAAAGAAGCAACGGCUAACUACGUG